AUGCAGAAACUCAAUAGGAAACUUAUGCACAUAACUAUUGGGAUGGUACCCUUGCUCUUUUGGCCCCUUUUCAGGGAAUUCCUCAAGGCACCACUGUACUAUGUUACUGCUAUAGCUUUGGCCACUUCUGUAUUAUGGAGAACAUCUCCGAUUGCUAUAGCACUUAUCUGCAACUUAUGCGCUGGAGAUGGUGUAGCAGACAUAGUGGGGCGCCGUGUAGGGAAAGAAAAGCUUCCAUACAACCCCAACAAGUCAUAUGCUGGAAGCAUAGCAAUGGCUGUGGCUGGUUUCUUGGCUUCAGUUGGGUGCAUGCAUUACUUUCACACUUUUGGUUUCAUUGAGGAAAGUUGGCGCAUGACCUUCGGCUUCCUUGUGGUCUCCGUAGCCACGGCACUUGUAGAGUCACACCCCAUCAGCACUGAAUUGGAUGACAAUUUAACUGUACCUCUCGUAUCAUUUCUGGUUGGUAGCCUCAUUCUAUGA
rnacentral:rRNA from 1 species